rnacentral:rRNA from 1 species
GACGAACGCUGGCGGCAUGCCUAACACAUGCAAGUCGAACGAAACCUUCCGGUCUUGGUGCGCACGUGUGCUUACCACGGGGUAACUUGCCCUUAGGUAAGGAAUAACUCCCUGAAAGGGGUCCUAAUACAGGUUAAUGUCUUCGCACCAACGAUCUUUCGCUUUUGGAUGGGCCCUCGUGGGAUUCGCCAGUUGGUAGGGGAAUAGCCGACCAUGGCCACGUUCCUUGGCUGGUCUGAGAGGAUGAUCAGCCACACUGGGACUGAGGCACGGCCCAGCAUCGGACGGGAGGGAGCAGUAGAGAAUAUAAGACAAGGGGCGAAAGCCUGACCAAGCAAUGCCGGGUGAGAGAUGAAGGCCUUAGGGUUGUAAAGCUCUUUUAGCCGGGAUGAUAAUGACAGUACCGGGAGAAUAAGCACCGGCUAACUACGUG